AUGGUCCGCACGAUGACUGAAGGCACCAUGAAUAGGUUUUUGAGCUCCGCGAAGGCCGAGAUGCUUCAAAAGAACGAGACGGAGACAAGAUGUUCGUGUCGAAGAUGCAAGCUGAAGAGCCUUAUUGCGGACCCGGAUUCCAGGCAGGUGCGGGACGACCUGCUCUUGCGUGGUUUCAUGGAUGGCUAUCGGUGGCAAGGUGAUGAAGAUGACUAUGAAGUCGUCCAUGGCCGGGGCCGGGCAAGAAAUGAGGAAGGGCAACAAGACAAGUACCACCGCGGCGAGGGCGGGCGAGAAGACGAAGAAUCUCCAGGACAUGAUCACGACGGUGAUGCUGUACACAGUCAUCAUGUAGAAGAUGUCGUACAUGAUGAUGAGGAAGAUCAAGACGAAGGGCAUGAUCAUGAAGAUGAAGAUGCUAGGUGCAGGACCCUCAUAUUCAAUAGCUGCUUCUCAAGCAGACGGAUAACGCAAGAGCUGCCGCCUGAGAGAAAGCCAAGCUGGAUCAACUGGAGAUAG
rnacentral:rRNA from 1 species